rnacentral:rRNA from 1 species
GAUGAACGCUGGCGGCGUGCCUAAUACAUGCAAGUCGAGCGAACAGACGAGGAGCUUGCUCCUCUGACGUUAGCGGCGGACGGGUGAGUAACACGUGGAUAACCUACCUAUAAGACUGGGAUAACUUCGGGAAACCGGAGCUAAUACCGGAUAAUAUAUUGAACCGCAUGGUUCAAUAGUGAAAGACGGUUUUGCUGUCACUUAUAGAUGGAUCCGCGCCGCAUUAGCUAGUUGGUAAGGUAACGGCUUACCAAGGCAACGAUGAGUAGCCGACCUGAGAGGGUGAUCGGCCACACUGGAACUGAGACACGGUCCAGACUCCUACGGGAGGCAGCAGUAGGGAAUCUUCCGCAAUGGGCGAAAGCCUGACGGAGCAACGCCGCGUGAGUGAUGAAGGUCUUCGGAUCGUAAAACUCUGUUAUUAGGGAAGAACAAAUGUGUAAGUAACUAUGCAUGUCUUGACGGUACCUAAUCAGAAAGCCACGGCUAACUACGUG